UACAAACGGGGGCAUCGACGGUGUUCUGUGCGUGCGUGUGUGUGCUUGUCACGUGCAUUCCCGAGAUCGCGUACUCGAUCUCGAACUGCACCACCCUCCUUCUCUUCACCACUGUUGUUUAUCUGUGCUCUGCGAGGUCCCAUUCGCAGGUUCGCCCUUCAGCUCUUCCCGCAGCUACCUGCGCUGUGUCGUUCCUCUUCUUACCCACUGUGCAGCACGCUCCCGCGCAUAUCAUGUCUGCGGAGCAGAUUGAAGGCGUUAUUGAGCGCAUCACGUACACCAAGGGCGUGCUGGGUGUGGUGGUGUGCACGUCCGAAGGGACUCCCAUACGCGACAGCUUCCAAAACCUCGACAGGUCUCUGGCCCAGUCCUACGCAGCCAUGGCGGCUGAUUUAGCACGACAGGCGGCAAUGCUGUUCACACCUGUAAAGUCUCACCGUGCUGCCUCUGAGUCCUCACCCCAAAUGGGAGCGAAGAAGCAGAUCACCACUACGCCACCACCACCCAUUCAGGAGAGCUCCGUAGAGCUCAUUCGCGUCCGCACGCUGCUGCAUGAGAUCAUCAUCCGCUGCAGCGAUGACUUCCUUAUCGCCGUAGUACAGGAGCCUGUUGUUUGACCACAGCGGUAGUGGCGCGCGCUCUUUCUCUGCGCAUCGCUCUCUAUCUGUGUGUGCGUGUGUGUACGUCUGUCUGCAUGUGGUACACGCGUGCGCGUGGCGGGUUUGUUUUUGAAUGCUUGUUAUAUGUGGCCGGUGCUGUAUGGCGGCUUGCAUGCGCAUGUUGGCGAGGACCAGGACGGUUCGGCGAAGCGAGAGGAGGACGAGGGGAGCCCCCCCCCCCCCCCCCCACACAGGGCGGUGCGCAUGUACACAAGCGUUUUGUUUCUGCAUCUCUUAUUCUCUUGAUUGGUGGCGUCGCACAAGCUGCUCAGGCGGUGGUGCGCGUGAGAUGAUGCUACUGUCUUGCGCUGCGUGCGAAGGAAACACACACACACACACACACACACACACACAAGAAAUGCUGAGUGCAGCAGCCGCAGACUGCGAUCUGGCAGCGACGCACACGCACACCACCAUCACAGGAAAUUGCUGUGCUGGAUGCACCAGAAGGUGCCAUGGCUUCUUCUGUUCGGUUUCCUGCGUGAGCGGGCACAGAUGUGAUAAGACUUCUACCAACCAUCAUCGAGGCCCGGAAGGGCAACCCUUCCCCUACCGCAAAAAAAAAGAAGGCAGCGGAGGUGGCCGAGAGACCAGUGCUCACGUUGCUCGAGCUGUUGCUGGCGGUGUGCGUCCGCUUCUCCUGCCCUAUCUUACUCUUCUUUCUUGCCGACUUCCUCGCCAAGCGAGAACACCCGCGCAUUACGUAAAG
rnacentral:misc_RNA from 1 species